rnacentral:rRNA from 1 species
AAUCAACGCUGGCGGCGUGCCUAACACAUGCAAGUCGAACGCGAAAGCCCGCAAGGGUAAGUAGAGUGGCGCACGGGUGAGUAACACGUGGACAACCUGCCUUCGAGUGGGGAAUAACCUUCCGAAAGGAGGGCUAAUACCGCAUAACACCUCGGGACACAAGUUCUGGGGUUGAAAAGAGCAAUUUGCUCGAAGAGGGGUCCGCGCCUGAUUAGCUAGUUGGUGAGGUAACGGCUCACCAAGGCUUCGAUCAGUAGCCGUCCUGAGAGGGAGCACGGCCACACUGGAACUGAGACACGGUCCAGACUCCUACGGGAGGCAGCAGUGGGGAAUUUUUGGCAAUGGGCGAAAGCCUGACCAAGCAACGCCGCGUGGGUGAUGAAGUAUCUUGGUACGUAAACCCUUUCGGCAGGGACGAACCUAAUGACGGUA